AUGGGAGUGGGAUCUUUUUUACUCUAAAUGAAGAAAAAAACUAGCCUUCUACUGUAAAACAUCCAAUGCAGUAGUAUCUAAUGUUAUUUUCUAUAGCAUUUUGUAUGCCACUGGCUAGAGGCCUUUCCUGAGCUGUUUUAAAACCAUGGCAGAGAGAUAUAAUAAACACAAGCAAUGUGAGAGAGAUAAUAAGAACUAAAGUCUCCAGAAGCUGGGUACUGAACAGCGGUAGGAGAGCCUUGGAAGGAGGCAGCAAGGCCAUAAUUCUGCACUUUCUACAUGCCCUCUGCAGAAUGGGGCCAGCACAGUGGUGGGGAGCGUUCUGUGCCAGCCUAAUAGCGGAGAAGAAACAGAAACAGAAUCCUGCACAUGCAGAAGAGGCCACAUAAAAGCAAGCUACACUAGUCCAGGUUAGAGGAGUGAAGGAUUUCAGGAGCGGUGCAGCUGAGGCUGUGGAGUAUAAGCACAAAGUGCAGAGGUAGCAGCAGGCAGACCUGCCAACUGGGAAGAUGUGGAAGGGGAAGGAGGAGUCCAAAGGAAAUACUACGCCAAGUUAACAUUCAAUGGAGGGAAAUCACAGGAGAGAAGAGGUGGAGAGUGAAGCAGCUCAAAAUUCAAAGUAAAAUUCUGUAAA